rnacentral:rRNA from 1 species
GCUUACGGCCAUACCACGUUGAAAGCACGCCCCACCAUCCCGUCCGAUCUGGAAAGUUAGGCAACCAUGUGCCUGGUUAGAACUCCGAUGGGAAGGGUUUUCCUACCAUCGUAAAGC